AAUGGCCUACCAAGGCGANGAUGGUUAACCGGCCNGAGAGGGUGUUCGGUCACACNGGAACUGAGACACGGUCCAGACUCCUACGGGAGGCAGCAGUGAGGAAUAUUGCGCAAUGGGCGAAAGCCUGACGCAGCGACGCCGCGUGGAGGAUGAAGGUCUUUGGAUUGUAAACUUCUGUUAAGUGGGAAGAAAGACCUGUUUCUAAUACAAGCAGGGAAUGACGGUACCACUAAAGAAAGCACCGGCUAACUUCGUGCCAGCAGCCGCGGUAAUACGAAGGGUGCAAGCGUUAUUCGGAUUUAUUGGGUGUAAAGGGUGCGUAGACGGCAUAUUAAGUCCGCUGUUAAAUUUCCCGGCCUAACUGGGAGCCAGCGGUGGAUACUGAUGUGCUAGAGGAUGGAAGAGAGAAGUGGAAUUCCCGGAGUAGCGGUAAAAUGCGUAGAUCUCGGGAGGAACACCAAUGGCGAAGGCAGCUUCUUGGUCCAUAUCUGACGUUGAGGCACGAAAGCGUGGGGAGCAAACAGGAUUAGAUACCCUGGUAGUCCACGCUGUAAACGAUAAUCACUAGAUGUUGGUUUGACUUAGUCGGAUCAGUAUCGUAGCUAACGCGUUAAGUGAUUCACCUGGGGAUUACGGUCGCAAGACUAAAA
rnacentral:rRNA from 1 species